rnacentral:tRNA from 1 species
GCCUGGGUGGCUCAGUGGUUGAGCAUCUGCCUUCAGCUCAGGUCGUGAUCCCAGGGUCUUGGGAUCGAGUCCCACAUUGGGCU